UUUUUUUUUUUUUUUUUUUUUUUUUUUUUUUUUUUUUUUUUGGGGUGGGGGUGGGGUGGGGUUGUUUGCUAUGAUGUAUGUUAAGAUUAAUGAAAUUUUAGUUUUAAAAGAGUUGGGUAAAUUGAUUAUUUUUAACAUAAAUUAAUUUUAGAAAAAAAUGAGCAUGAAAAAUGUGGCAACUCAUAUCAAGUAAAUGAUAACUUUUUGUUGUAGUGUGACAAAUCUGAUAUGUUUACGUAAACCGUAACAAACUUAACACCACUCCUUCCAACCUUACGAAGCUUCUUAAUCGGUUCAACGAUUCUGCCCCACUCUACAACCACAAUGUACUACUAACAAGAGGGAAGAUAUUCUCUAAUGCCACAUAACCACAUAUGGAUACCUUCACACCCAUACCUAACCUAACAAUAGCGAUGACGUUCUCUAAUGCCACAUCAACCACGUAUGGAUACCUUGACACCUAUACAUAACCUUAACAUUUUCCUUGUUUGUCCAUCUCUUAAAUUGUCCUUGGAUCGUGUUUUUUUCAUUCUUUAUUUGACUGUCAAAUCACUAUGUAAUAUUUUAAUUAUUGUUUUUUUUAUUUACUUGAAUAUGAAAUCACCAUGUAAUAUUUUAAUUAUUGUUAUUUUUAUUCAACUUUGAUCGUAUUCAUAGUAAAUAAAUCAUCAAUAACAACGAUUCAGUUUCAUCUCAUCUAUCAAGUUUAUUUUAACACUCAUCGUAGUGCAUAUGUAGCUAAAAAUGUUAGGUAAUUUAAUUUAAUAAAAUAUGUAUCUGAAUUUACAUGAUUAUAAAGAUACAUACAAUCAUUGAUGAAGUUUCUUAAAAUAUAUAUAUGAAAAAAAAAGGUUUUUGUUCACAGAAACAAUAAUGCUACUAAAGGCGUGGCCCUUUCCAACUGUUACACAAUCAGAAAGAGCAUGUGGCAGACAACAUAAUAUCUUACUUUCAAUAUGCGCCUCAUUCACACAUUCACAAUUGUAUGGAUGCAUACAAAAUAAAAAAUUCUCAUUCAAGAUAUCACAUGAACGAAUUUUUAUGAAAUCAAAGUUAUUCAAUGAAAAAAAAACAGAAAUUCAGCAAGCAUCAACAUCUGAGACAAUCGGGAAGCAAUUACAUAUUAUAUAUCCAUUAAUCAAUCAAUAAUCAAUUUGAACAAAUGAAAAUUUGGAUCGAAAAACGAGAACUAAGGAUCUGAAAACCAUCAUCAUCACAAACGAAUUUUAUGAAACUACAUACAUUCAACAAAAGAAUGAAUUCACAUACAAAAAUUUCAAGAACAAAUGCGGAUAUAAGCAGAACAAAUCAUCUCAAUACAAAACAAAAAUAAUUUCUCCAAAUCAAAUCGAUUUAGAAUAAAAGCCCAAAGGAAAGAGAAAUAAGGGAAAUAAGGGCGGCCGGAACGUAAACGCUGGCGGCAGAAGACGGACCCGGCGCCGGGGCGGGAGCUUCCUGAGCUGCGACAUUACUGACGGCAGAUACGGCCAUCAACAUAACAACAACGGCGGCGAAGAGCUUCAUCUUCAUUGAUUCCAUUGAUGCUUUACUUUGAAUUUGAAAUUCAAGCGGAAUGUAAGAACAGAUUAGUUUGAUUAAUUGCAGGGUGUUGAAACUUGAAAGUGGUGGUGGUGUUGGAGGUGAUGAAGGGUUGAUAUAUAUAGGGGUGUGUGAAGGGGGAGGGGACACUUUAGUGGCAUGAGCUGACCGAACUGCCCGACUGUUGACAGGGUGUUUAUGUGGGGUUGCCCCACAGCUGUGGCCAACGGUUGUAUCGCCGUUUUCGUGGGCUCCACCCAUUUGUUUCGAUUGCCUUUUCUUAGAAAAAAAAAAAAAGAAACUGAAUUGUGUGGUUUACAUGGAAAGCUAUCAUUUAAAUUUAAAAUUUUUGCCGUUCGAUUUAAGACUAAACAGUCUCCUAAACUUUUUACCAUUGCCACGUAGAUUGAAAGAGACAUUUUUAUAAAUUUUUAGUUUUAAAAAUGAUAACACACAAAUAUGAUUUUUGCCACGAUAAACUUUCACCGCUAGCAAUGGAUUUCUUGUGGAAAAACGGUCUUAUAACAUAAUAACACCGUAAAAUCAAGUAUAUAAAUAUACUGGGUGUUUGAGAUAGUUUUUGAAAAUAAUUUUUCAAAAAGCUAAUAAGCUAAAAAAGUGUUUGUGUGUUUAAAAAACGGAUUUUAAAACAGUUUUUUUAAAACAGUUUUUCUUAUCCGAACACUAUUUAAAAACCGUUUUUCAUAAAAGUCAUAAGCUAAUAAACAUUUUUCUUAAAAAUCACUUUUGUUAUAAAAAAGUUAACCCAAACACACCCUUAUUGCAUCCUUCAUUGAUUCCUUUAUAUACACUCUAUGAAACACAAGUUGAUUAUGAUGGACAUGAAUAUGACGAUAUUGGCAUCGUAAAGGUAAACAUUUUGCUUGCGAUAGGACUACAUAUGCCAAUGAUGAAUUAACAAACGAUUAUGCAAAAAAUGUUUGUGUUGAUUGAUGAUUUAAUAUUACUUCCACACGGAUAACCGGUGGAAAGUCGUGAAGCUAGAUCGGAUUAUGAUGAAAUUCAAUAUGAUAACGAUAACAGCCCAAUCAAUAUGAUAAGGAUGACUAUGAGUUCUUUUAUUAGUAUGAAGAAACUAAAACUAUGAAUAUUACAUUAUACCAUUGUUCCAACUCUCAACCCACAAACAUAAACUUAUCUUAAAGAGUCUCAAUUUUUGAAAACAAAUAAGAUAUAUGUAACACCCGAAUUUUUAAUGCAAUGUACACCAAAAAAAAUUCACUUUUUAAAUUUAUAAGUAAGGCGUACACAUGUAUUAACAAUCCAAUAUGUAGUUCUCAACAUGAUUACAACAAAGAAAUAAAAUGCAUGUAUUAACAAUCCAAUAUGUAGUUCUCAACAUGAUUACAACAAAGAAAUAAAAUGCAUUGAUCUAAGUCGGGCAUUACAACCUCUUUUUUACAAUUAUAGGGAUGACAAAAAACUCAUACCUAAUGAAGAACACAAAACCUACACCCGUUUUUAGCCCUGUCGAAAAUACCCGAUACCCGAAUUACCCGCCCGAUUUUUUCGGGUAUCGGGUAAAUCGGGUAUCGAGUAAAUUUUUCCGGGUAAUCGGGUUACCCGAAAUUUUUUCGGGUCGGGUAAAGGGUAUAUUUUUUGGGUUUCGGGUAUACCCGAAUUACCCAAAUUAUUAAAAAAAAAAUUUGUUUUGUAGAGCUUGUACUAUAUAACAGGUAUUUGAUCACGCUUAAACUAACUAUCAUUAUUGUAAAACAUAAAUAUAUUUAUUAUGACAAUACGACACUAACAAUCUUAAAAGUAAUUUUUAUAUAUCAUCACGUUCUUUAAAAUUUAACAGUUUUCUGGAUUAUAGUUUUUAUUACAACUAACAAACUCAUUAUCUUGACGAAACUUUAGAACAUGGCAAAACUUAUUACUACAUUUAUCUUAAACAUUUUAAACUUUUAAAUUAAGAUUUUUAGGUAUUUGUUUUUUUAACAUCUUAUUAGAUUAGAUUAAGUCGUUAAAAAAUUACUUGAUAUCUCAUGUAUUAUUGAGUAGAAAAUCUCAAUGUUCAAAGCUUGAGUAACUUCGUUUAUGUCUCGUUUGUUUAUAUAAACAAGACUAAUAAAGCACGACGUAUUAUUUCAUUAAAUUUAUUUUUAGGUGAAAUUCAAAAAAAAAAUCAUAUAUUUCGGGUAAUACCCGAAUUACCCAAACCCGACCCGAUACCCGAAUUACCCAAACCCGAAUUUAGUUUGGGUAGGGUAACGGGUAAUUUUUCUAACAUGAAAAACCCGAAUUACCCGACCCGAAUUACCCGAAAUCCGAAAAAAUUAUCCGUUCAACACCCCUACCCGUUUUGACCGGAGAAUCCUCAAGUUAACCAUGGAUGGGGACGAUCGGGAAUCCCCGAAUAAAAGAAUGGGGAUGGGGAUACCUUUAGACCCCGACCCUGGACUUGGCCNNNNNNNNNNNNNNNNNNNNNNNNNNNNNNNNNNNNNNNNNNNNNNNNNNNNNNNNNNNNNNNNNNNNNNNNACUCUUUGUAUCAUAUAUACAUAUUGUAAAUGUCCAAUGAUCUUCUAAUUCAACUUCUAACAUGAUUUAAUUCCAAGAUUUUUAUAAAUUUUAUAUUUAUCUUCCUCUUACAUAAUUUUCAUUUUUAACUAUAAUAUAUAUAGCCUAAUAGGUGUUCAGCAUGAAGAUGUGAUAUAAGAGAAAAAUAAUAGUGAAAUUUUGAAAAUCUUGAAAGUAAAUCAAGUUAGAGGUUGAAGUUUAAGAACAUUAUAAUGAAUAUAUCAAACAAAACNNNNNNNNNNNNNNNNNNNNNNNNNNNNNNNNNNNNNNNNNNNNNNNNNNNNNNNNNNNNNNNNNNNNNNNNNNNNNNNNNNNNNNNNNNNNNNNNNNNNNNNNNNNNNNNNNNNNNNNNNNNNNNNNNNNNNNCUCUGAUACCAAGUUAAAAUAUGUAUUUGCCACACAAAACCCGUAGGUUAUUAUCUGAUAUAUAUAUAUAUAUAUAUAUAUAUAUAGACACACACACACACACAAAACAAAUUUUUAUAGUAUAAUUUAUGAUAUCUCAAAGUUUAUCUCGGUAACCAAACUCAUUAGUUAUUACUUGGUUGAAAUUGUAUUUAUCCUAAUUCAUUUAUCUAAUUUAACCUUGUGUGUAAUUUUUUUUCUCUUUGGUUAAUCUAUUUUACCUUAAAUACCAAUCUGAUAACUUUUUCUACUUGAUUUUUCAUGUAUGUGUUUAAAUUAGGUAGAAUCUUUUUUAUAGUUUUUAUGCAAUGUAUGAAUAUUUUAUAUUAUUUAAAAUCUUUAAACUUACUUUGGUAAAACUGAAAUUUAAAGUUUUUCUUUACGUAAAAGUGUAAUGUCCCAUUUUCAAAACAAAAUUUUCAUUUUUAAAUAAGGAUAUGUCAUUGUUUUUCAAAAACCUAGUCAAGGAACAUAAAUAUCAAAAUACAAUGAUCCCAAAAAUAUCAGAGCAUAAAACUUGCGGAAUCACAUAAGCUGCAGGUGGAUGUGUGUAUAAUCAAACAUUCGCCUUCCUGCAAUCAUCUGAAGUACCUGAAGCACAAUAAAUUAACAUCUGUAAGCUUGAAACUUAGUGAGUUUUCCCCCAAGAUACCACAUACUCUAGAACCCUCACCAUAAAUGGUCAAUACUCCCCCACUUGGGUCUCGAACCGUCACCAACUAUCGCUCAUAAUCAAUCGGCCCUCCAUGCGGACUCAACCAAUCCAUACCCACAAUAACACAUACACCCCCAUCACGAUAGGAAUAAGAUCUAUAUGGAACUUAACACCAUAAAUCUCCAGUACACAACUCGGUAAACAUCAGAAGCCGAAUCGUGUUCUUAUCUGGAAUAGCUACUCUUAAAGGUCGAUCCACAGGCUCGCAAGGAACACUAAAGCCCCUACUGAACGAUGUCGACACAAACGACCGGCUCACACCUGAGUCGAAUAGAACAAAAGCGGGCAGAAAAUUCAUAAGAAAUGUACCUAACAAAAUCACAAUCAUAAGUAUGCAUAAAGUAAGAUAACAUAAAUAUAAAGGAACACAUACCAGCAAUGACGUCCGGCGUUGCCCUGGCCUCCUCUGCUGUCAACUGAAAAGUUCUCCCUCGGGCCCUAGGGGCCUGGGCGUUCCCUUGUCGAUCAUCAGUAAUGCGUAGGGUUGCAGGAGCAAGAGUUUCAACUGGCCUCGAUGUAAGUAAUGGGCAAUUGGCAUUCAUAUGGCUCAUCUGAUUGAAGCUAUAGUAGACUCGAAGAUCAACGGACAAUCCUUCGUAAAGUGUCUUUCAUUGCCACAUUUGUAGCAUACCAUCCCUGUCGGGUAGGUACCCUCAUGAACCUUACCGAACUUGUUGCAAGUACAGACCCUAUGACCUCUCAGUCUCGAAUCAGCAAGCUUGAACCUCUUAGUCGUUGGCUGCAAUGACACUGGCCUCCUAUCUCUAUGUUGUGUCUCCCUCUCAACCUCUCUCACUUAUGUCUCCAGCUUAAGCUCUCUCCUCCUGACAUUAGUCUGCAACUCAGCCAAUGUCUGAUACUGGGUGCUCGUCACGACCUUUUGGAUAUCCUUCUUGAUUAUUCUCAAGAAUCAGGUCAUCCCCACCUGCUUAGAGGAUGUGUACUCAGGAAAGAAAAAGGCCCUCUCGUGAGACAUCCUGGUGAUCUCAGUUGUUGUCUCUAUCAUCUGCCUGAGCGACAGGAACUCCUGGGUCAACAUCUCCCUCUCCACUAAUGACACAAAUUUAACAUGAAACAUCUCAAUAAGUUGAUCCCAAGUCAUAACAGAAAGCUCUGAUGGAGAAUAAUCUGAUGUUACAAACUUCCACCAGUCCUUCGCUCCCAGGCAAAGAAGGUUCAGCGCGAAACGAACCUUCAGGUUCUCCAGACAUUAACAAGUGUAGAAACAUCCCUCAACAUUUUAGACCUAUCUCAUAAAGGAAAUAAGGUUCUUGACCCCAUCGAAAUCAUGAGGCAUCGUGUUGUUGAAAUCCCGGUACAACAUUGAAUCCCCCCCAUGUGGUCUACCAACAACAACAGCUGUAGUGGCUGCGGAAGUAGCAACCUCAGUGAUGGUUGCAUAGCGCUCGUCAAACAAAUCAAUCAUAGCGGUCUUGAUAAACCCAAAAAUAUCUGGAAUAUUCUCCCUGAUCAUUGCAACCACCUCUGUAGCAAUGAUCCUACUAAUCUCCUCAUCACUGGUACCCGACCUAUCUGGGUCGCUAGAGCUUAAACCUCGGGUCGUCAUCACCAUACUGAAAAGAAUAACGAAAAGAUCAAAACCAAACUAAAUCGUACACAUACAUAAUACACUCCCACAAGUUCCUUAUUACCCCAUGAUUCAACCUGAAUUGCAUACGGAUCCUAUGCUUUCAAUAGUACGGGCCCAUACUAUCUUCCAAACCUAUUCGUAGUUCAUUCAGGUUGUCCUCCCAAAUCCUUAAGAUGCUAAUCCCUAAAAUCUAGAUGUAUCCAUGCAUACACACCUAAGGAUCACAACUAAGAACCUAAAUACUCAUUAUAGGUUCCCUCUCGACCACCUUUCCACCUUGCAAGAAUCUCUGCUAAACUUGCCAAUUGCUCCACGUAUGUCAAUUUUACAUAAUCCAGGACUCGAUAGACAGUUGAAUAAAUGAUUCUACCUCAAGUCCACAACCAAAAAAGGAGCAAGAAGUAAGGCUAAACCAAAUAAUCUAAGGCUAUAAAACCCUAACUAUGUAUGUAACAUCCCAAUUUUCGGGUACAAAUUUAAAGCCUUAUAUAUAUAUAUAUACAUACAUAUAUAUAUACAUAUAUAUAUAUAUAUAUANNNNUAUAUAUGCAUUUUUAGGGCCACGUAUAUUUCAGGGUCUACUCGACGAGUUGGAAGACACCAACUCGAUGAGUUGAAGGCUGAACAUGAAAAUCCUAAUUUUUAUGGUUUUCACCCUAUUUAAAGACCUUAUAACUCGUUUAUGGUUUGCCUCUCUCCCCAUUUUAAGUGAUUGUGAGAUUAAAGAGUGUUCUUUGGUGGUUUUCUUGAAGGAGCUUGAAUUUGGUGGUGCAAGGUUGAAGGGAGAAGCUGUAGAUUCAAGAUUCUCAGUGUUGUUACAUCCACUUGGAGGUAUAAAGUCGUUAUCUUGAUCAUCUCUUCUUCUAGAUCUCUUCUUUUAGAAGUAUGGCCAUUAUUAGCUUAUUUUGGGACCAUUAUUGGAUUUAAGCAUGUUAUGAAGCCAUGGUUUCAGAUCCGGACGUUUCAUGGGCCCUUUUGACAUAAAGUUGUCAUCUUUAUCAAGUAUUGGCUCUCCUUCAUGCCCUAGGCCCCGUGAUAAACCUUAUUUGAGUUUUUUAGCCCCUUUGAUGCCACACAUGGACGUAAAGUUAGCAACUUUACGUGGUAUUUCAGUCAUAGGGGACCAGAUCUAUAGUUUGGAGCAUUAAGCUCACUUGGAAGUAUCUGAAUGCAUUAAGGUUAGGAAAACUCGAUGAGCUGAUCUGCCAACUCGAUGAGUUGGUGAGGGUUUUCCCACUUUCUAGAUGCCAAAGAACUCGAUGAGUUGCUCUGGUAACUCAGCGAGUUAACUAUGGCUUUUCACGAUUUUCUGAACAUUUAAGGAACUCGACAAGUUGCUAGAUGCACUCGAUGAGUUAGGUCAACAUGGACUGUUGACCUUGACUGUAUAUUUUGAGUUGGACUAUGGUUAACCAAGUUUAACUUCAGAGGGUAUUUUGGUGAUUUAGGAUUUUAAUGGAAUUAGUCAUAUGGUGGUUACAGGAACUUGAGUUCAGAGCCGUGAGUUGGGAUUCGAUUUUAUCGGUUCAACACUACUUGUGAGAUGAGUUCUUCUCACUAUGCUAACAAAGUCUAAGGCACAAAGGCUGACCCUUUUUGGAUUGUUAUCCUGGUUAUCACAUGAUGUUAUGUUUAGUGAUCUGUUAGAAGAUAUGCAUACUGGUAUAUAGGAUGGUGCUAUGUUUAGUGAUUUGUUAAAUCUGCAUCCUGGUAUAUAAGAUGGUGUUAUGUUUAGUGAUCUGUUAGAUCUGCAUCCUAGUAUAUAGGUGUUGGAUUAGUGUCUAAGUCCAUAACUAUUUUGGUAUGUACUUGACCCGAUGGUGCAUGGUCCUUUUGGGUUGCCUUCACCAAAGCAACUUGAUUGGAGAAAUAACUAGAGAGAGAGGUUAUUAUGAUUUAUUAAUAUGUUAUAAGAAUAAUAUAUUAAAGGAGAAAUCAUAUUUGUUUAAUUAAUAUUGGUCAAUAAUUAAUUAAGAAUUAAUUUUGUGAUCAAAUAUAAUUAAUUAAACUAGAGGGGCUGAAUUGUAAUUAUGUGAUAGUUACAAAAUAGGGUAAGGAUUAUCCUAAGAAUAGGUUGGAUGAAGUUAAGGUGAUAAGGCCUUAGAAUUCGACUAUGAUAAGGAUUCAAGGCUUAUCUUAUGGGUUGCUUGGUAAGCAAGCAACUAGAUAAGGAUAAGGACUGAAACCCUAUCUCUACACCUAUAUAAACCCCCUUUGGCUCAUGAUUUCGUCCAGACCUUCCCAAGGCAUCUUAGGGACGAAUUCUUAUACCUCUCCUCUCUCUUUAUACCUUCUCCAUUUGCUCUUGGUGUUUGUAAGCCAUUAGAGGAGUGACACUUGUGACUCUAAGCCUUCCAAAGUCAAUUCAAGGAGGAAUCAGGAUUGUUAUUACUACAUAACAAUCAAGGUAAUAUCAUAAACCUAAUUAUAUGUUAAUAUCGAUUUCCAUAUGCUAGAAUUAGGGUUUAUAGUCUUGGAUACAAAGCAUGUACAAUAGAGAAACCUAGAUCCAAGCAUUAGGGUUUGUAUGAGCACAUAGGAUGUCUUAUGACCAAAACCCAUCAGUGGUAUCAGAGCCUAGACUGGUUUCUAUUGUAUUGAUGCUUGAUAUGUUUGAAAAAUUCGAUUUUUUGGUUUCUGGAGGCUGGACUCGCCGAGUCCAUGGCUGAACUCGUCGAGUCCAUGCAGACUCGACGAGUCCAAGCUUGACUCGACGAGUCAACUCGUCAGAUGGAGGGUAUUUCGCGAUUUCUUGCUGUUUUUGCUUAUGGAUAGUUACCUUAUCAUGUUAGAUCAAUAUAAAUCCGAUUUUAUGAUAUAUUUGACUAUAUUCUUGAUCUAAUUGAAGAUAUUUAUCAAUUAAUAAGAUAAUUGUUUCCUUAUGUGAUAAUUGAUUAAUUAUUUUGACUAAAUUGAUAAAUUGUUUUGCAAGAAAUCAUUAAAUAAAUCAAAUAUGGAUAAUUAUGUGAUUAAAUGUUAAUUUAGAUUAUUUGUUAUUUGAUCCUUGUUGUUAUGAAAAGUUUCAUAUUUUCCCCUUUAGGUUUUAUAGUUUAAAUUUGAACCCAAAAGUUUUGUUGUUUUGAAAUUUAAAUAGUUAAAACCCUAAUGUUUUGAAAAAGGUUUCAAAACUUGCCCUCAAGUUUUGGAAUUUAAAUUUUGAUUAAAUGGUUUAAUUUUGAUGUAUAUUUAAAUUCUAAACCCUAAUGUUUUGAAAUGUUUCAAAACUUGCCCUCAAGUUUUGGAAUUUAAAAGUUGAUUAAAAGUUUAAUUAGGAAUGUUAAAUUCUAAAACUCUAGUAUUGUUUUGAAAAAGUUCAAAUCACACCCUUAUGGUUUUAUUAAUUAAUUAAGGUGUAUAAUUAAAAGAGGUUUAAUAAAUCCAUAAAAGUUUAGGUUUACAAUUUAAUUGAAUUAAAAGUAUAAUUGUUAAAUUAGACCACCUAGUAUUUUGAAAGUAUAAAAUACACCCUAUACUAUAUAUAACAUUAAAAGUCUAACAUUAUAUAUAUGUAUGAGUAAAAGUCAGUCUUACCGUUAGUAGGCCUCAUUCACGAAGCUGGUCUAUAAGGGGUGUUUAAGGAAAUUGCCUAUAAAAUGGCGAUUGAAUGGGUAUCCACUCUUACCCACCGCACUCUUGACUAGUGGAGGGUCGUUAGCCGAACGGGUAGGAUAGGACGAAACCUUCCAUUAUAAGUAUAAUGAAUUAUUAAAGUAACUAAAUGUUUUCAUAAAAUUCCCAAUCUUAGUUACUUAGGCAAAAGUGAAUUGAUGCAAUUCCAUGAAAUUACACUUUGUGCCCUUGCGAAGACGUUAGUGGAGCGUGUGUGGUUUACCGGCACACUAAAUGGUUCUAAGCAAAGGUAGCAAAGGGUGACUCAAUGUUUGUCAUAGUUCGGUGGAGCGUGUGUGGUUUACCGGCACAUCGAAUAGGUGACUGUAACAUGUGAGGGCACCAUGUAAGUUUGCAUGGUUAUUCACACCCGCUUUGUGAUCCUCGGCAUCCCAGUCACAAACAAGAGGGGCAUAUCGAGAUUUAAACAUGCCAUUGAAAGUUCAAUGAAUCUCAAAGGAUCUAGGAGUUUUCAUAGAUUUAAAACUUAAAUUUCUUUUUCGUUUUUCAUGGUGGAAAUUAGUGAAUCGUCAUUCACUUACCUUCAAAUAUUCUGCAAUUAGGGUUACGGCAUCCCUCUCCCGAGUUGUAGAAUAUUGUGUUGGGUCCUAGCCUUAGUAUCUCAUUUGGGUGAUUUACUAAGGACUCAAUCAAUCAACUAACUUGAAUUCGUUUUCUCCCGUUUUGUAGAUGUCAAAGUUCGACAACUAUGGUCUUCCCAAAUCCCGUGGAACAAGCAUUCCACAUGAAGAUGAUAUUCCACGAUUCGAUCGAGGAACAAGAAAUCAUGCUUCACUUCCUCCUCCUCCUCCAAUUAUUCUCCCUAACCCACAAGUUCAAAGGCUUGAAAAGUUCAAGAUCACUCAAGCCCUUUUGGCAAGUAAACAUAAAGAAGGAAAGUCGGUGUGUGCACACGUCCUAGGGAUGAAGUCACACAUUGAUAGGUUAAGAAUGUUGGGAUCCGUUGUCUGUGAGGAAAUGGCUGUUGAUUGGGUUCUUCAGUCACUUCCUAACUCAUAUAGUGAGUUCGUAAGAGAGUACUAUAUGAUGAACCGCGACGUGACCCUUAUAGAUCUCACCUAUAUGCUUAUUGCUGCUGAAUCAGCAAUGGUUUGGCGCAAUAGAAAAGCAAAGUUGAUUGGUGAAUCUGCCUUCAAGACCUCUAUGGAUAUAGACAAUGGCAACGAAAGACAUGCUAUGAUCGAAAAGUUUGAUCAUAAGAGAAAGGCAAUGUCUGAAGUAGUUCCAUGUCAUGUUCCAAAAGAGUCAAUUUGCUUUUAUUGCCAAGAGAAAGGGCAUUGGAGACGAAGCUGCCCCAUUUACCUAAGAGAUCUAAGAGAUGGGAGAGUCGAAACGUAUGGCUCUAAUAUAGGUAAAAUCCAUUAACUAACUCUUUUAAGCUUCUAUUCUAGAUUCUUAAUACAUAAUGUGAUAAGAUUACAAUUGAUGUUUUGUAGGAUCGAAGAAAAGAAAGGAAGCUUAAGGGAAGAAGUGAGCAGAAUCUAACCGUGAAGGAAUGGAUUUCGAUCGCAUUUCUCGAAGAUUAGAUUCUUGAGCUACUACUUAGAGUUAGAAUUAGAUUGCUAAGAAAGAUGUAUUAGCAUAGUUUUUCAAUGAAUUGCAUUGUAAGGACAAAUUUUUUCCGCAAUAAAAUAAAUUUUGAUUUUAUAUUAUUUAUUUAUCCUUGCAAUGGCGUAUAUGAAAAAUUGAUGUUUGAAUGUUUCUAUUAUUAGCAAUAAUGGAUUUGGUUCUUAUUAUGUUAUUUAUGGAAAGUCGAGAAUUUACCAAAUAGGGAGAGUUUCUCAUCGCCCAAGUUUCAAUUGGACAGAAACUUGGAAUCAUGCAACUUGGUUGCACGAUGAAUGAGAAAUUUCAUAUUUGGAAAUUAGACUAAUUCAUUGACAAAGUGUCAAGUGAAGGACUAGGAGAUCGAGUACACAAAGUUGCGUGUUGAUCAAGUCCACCAUAAGAGUAACAAAGAUAUUCGUCAUGAUUUACUAAAGGUUUAGUAAAUAUGAUUAUACUUACAAGAUUAAGUGUAAUUCUGAAUUGAUUGAAAAAGUUUAAAUCAAUAGCAGAACGAAUAAGAAGAAUCAAGUAGGCAGAAAGAUAAAAGUUUCUCCAUUCUAAGAAGAAGGGAGAGUACCUUUUAUGCUUUAUGAUAGGUCUUAAUGAUUAAGAACCAUAUCUCAAUUGAUCCUCUAAGUGAGUCUUAGUACAAUUGUAUGUCUAAGAAGAGGAAUCAAGAAUUGAAGAAAUGGUUAAAUCAAGAAGUCAAUCAUACUUCGUUCCAAAACAAGUCUUAGAGUUAAGAUUGUGACAUUGAGUGAAAAGUAUUAAGAAGGUUUAUAACAUUCAUCAAAUGUGGAAAGUUGUGAUGUCUUGGAUAAGACAAAGACCAACUAGGACCAAUUUAUGAAGUGUUUUGAUAAAAGCUACACUAACUCUUGAAUAUUUGUUUGUCAAGAAAUGUUUAUUGACAAGAGAAUCUUAUAUGUCAAGGAGUCAGUGGGAGUCUUAAUGGUCUUGAAAGGUUUCAAGAACAAAUCAAAUAAACCUUAUCGAUCAUCACUAGCACACGAGUUGAGGUUUACAACCUAUCGUGUUGACAUUAUUUUGUUUCUGUGCCAAUCCAAUCGAGUUAAUUAUGCAUGUGAGUUCUAUGAGUUCUCAUUUUGAACGCAUAAAAGGCAAAGCACCUUAAUCAAUGAAAGGUACAUUGAUAGGAAAGGGUGAGCUGCUUAACUACUUGGAAGACAUGGUGGGCAGCUGUGCUACCAUAAGGCAAGAAAUCAAGAUUAAGAAAGUUCGGUCCAUAUGAGUUUGAAUUUGUCGUAAACUUUGGUUUUAACAAAUUCACAUGGAUAGGAACACAUACACCGUUUAAAUCUAAGUGUCAUAAGAUUUCCUCCUUCAUGAAAAUGAUUGUGAGGAAAUGCUUUCACUAAGAAAGAUUUUAAGAAGAUAGUGAUUGUAAAAUUGCAUUCUCGAAUUCGAUUAUGGUUACGGUAUCCCUUUCCAUAAUUUGAAUUGUGAGGUUUGGCAAUUAGUCUUAAUUGUUUAGACACACAUAUGAACUAUCGAAGGCAAAGGUGUAUAAGUUCAAGAAGCCUUGAUAAAAGAUUAUCAAAGCACUAAGUAUUAGAAACAUGAACUUAAGAAAUUCAAUAAGUAUUGUUUUUCUGAAAGUUAAGAUGUUUAUGAAUACAUGUCGAAGCUAGUGGGAGCAUAAGUGUUAUGUUUUAUAAUAAUCAUCAUGAUAGUGGGAGCAUAAAUGUUAUGAUUGUAUGAUUAUUAAGGAAAGUAUUGCAAGUUGGCAAUAUUAAUUAUAGAAAACAAGAGUCAUACUUUGCAAAGUUGUAAGAGUUGAAAGGUUGUUUUGCUAUAAUUAAGGGAGAGAAUAUUAUGCUUCAUUUCAAAUCUAAAGGAUUAGGUUGAGAAAUGUUAAUAAAUUUAGUCAAAGGUACAUAGUGUGUUCUUAAAAUUUCGAUUAUGAUUACGGCAUCCCUCUUCACAAUUCGAAUUUUGAGAACAUAGCAAAUAAAACAUUAUGCGUCGUGUCCCAUACGCUUCGGGUAUAGGAUCGAUUGCAAAUGCUUUAAUGUUUGACCAUUCUAAAAUUUUCCAAAUGUCGAGCGCAUUUAGAGGGAAAAGGGACUAGAAUUGGUUUUGACUAAAAUAAUUAAACAACUAUCAAAGGACAAUCCAAAGUUCGACGAGGAUUGGUCGCUUGUGAGUAGUUGGAAGUAUAGUAUUGGAAAAUAUGGAAAUGUUUCCAUAUUGGAUGGACCAUAUCGACAUCAUUACGAAUAGAUAAGAUUCUAUUAAGAAUGAGUUGUCAUAUGGAACAUAUGGAAGUGUGUCCAUAUUGGGAAUUGAAUAUUGAGAAAUCUAUGACUAGAUUAGAAACUUCUAUGCAAAAGGAUGUUCAAAGAAUGUACUUUGAGUGAGAGACAUCACGUCUAUGGAAUUGUCUUGUAACAAUCUCCGAUAGAGGACUUUGUAAUAUCAUUGGCAAUAGUCUUUGUGACUUUGGUGCAGUGACAUUACGAAAGGAUAGUUGCAUAGAAUGUUAGAAUCUAGCAUAUUCUAUAAGUAGCAAGAAUUUGAUAUUCUUUGACUUAUGAAAAACGGAUUUGGAGUUGUGAAAUGAGAAGGAUUGGAAAUGUGUUCAAUGUGAUCUAUUUCACAAAGUAAGAACCAUAGGUAAACAUUGUGUGCAUGCUAGGAGCAUGGGACAAGUGUUGGAAUUCAAGUAAGAAGUUGAUUACCCGAAACGACAAAUAAUGAGUAAUCAAUAUGGUGAUAAAUAAAAGGUGUUUUAUUUAUACUCAAAGGUUUGAGGCCAUAUGGGAUUAGUAUUAUUCUUGUGUUUCACAUUUGCAUGUUUUGACUUCCAGAAUAAUUGAGUUUAUUAAGAAUAAUCGAAUUAUUCAAACGGGCCACAGUCGUUCAUAUGUUGGAAGUAGAUAUGAAUGAAGACUGUCGUGAAUUGGUGUGUGGAUUGUCUAAAAGAGUAUUAGACAUAAGCAAAUGUUUGCUGCAACGUUCAUGAGUGCUUAUGAAUGUGAUUUGAGCAUUGGAUUAAACCCACGCUCACUUGGAUCACUCCAUGAAUUGUAUCACGAGUGAUUGGUGAGACGAUAACAUCUUAUAUUCUUGAAACCGAGAUGUGUGAGUUGUAUCUUGCAAAUCGGUUGCACAUUGAUAAUAUGUAAACGCACUAGUAACUUGGUGUUAUAAAACAUAUUGUUGUGUGUGAUUCGGUGAGUGAGUGCAAGCAAGCAUUGUAUCAAAGUUUAUCCGUUCCUUUUAUCCAAAGUAGGAUAAAAGCGAUAUCUUUGGGCCCCUCGAUGGUUUAGUGAUGACAAACGUAAAUGCUCGGCCGGGCUAGGGCUAAUUUGAUUUGUUCAAUUAGUCAGUCGUCAUAAAUCGGAAAUCGAGAUAUAGUACAAAGAGAAUGAUUUGAAAUCAUAUCUCAUAUGAUAUCUAGAAUGGAGGAAUAUAUGAUCCCUUAUCUAAGGACACGCGUAUCUGAUAGGAUCAGAGUUGACAGCGGCUUUGGAAAGCUACGAUUGCAGAUCAGGAUCUGAAGUCAUACGCAGAAUAGUUAUUAGACUUAUCCAAGUGGGAGACUGUUGGAUUAGUGUCUAAGUCCAUAACUAUUUUGGUAUGUACUUGACCCGAUGGUGCAUGGUCCUUUUGGGUUGCCUUCACCAAAGCAACUUGAUUGGAGAAAUAAAUAGAGAGAGAGGUUAUUAUGAUUUAUUAAUAUGUUAUAAGAAUAAUAUAUUAAAGGAGAAAUCAUAUUUGUUUAAUUAAUAUUGGUCAAUAAUUAAUUAAGAAUUAAUUUUGUGAUCAAAUGUAAUUAAUUAAACUAGAGGGGCUGAAUUGUAAUUAUGUGAUAGUUACAAAAUAGGGUAAGGAUUAUCCUAAGAAUAGGUUGGACGAAUUUAAGGUGAUAAGGCCUUAGAAUUCGACUAUGAUAAGGAUUCAAGGCUUAUCUUAUGGGUUGCUUGGUAAGCCAGCAACUAGAUAAGGAUAAGGACUGAAACCCUAUCUCUACACCUAUAUAAACCCCCUUUGGCUCAUGAUUUCGUCCAGACCUUCCCAAGGCAUCUUAGGGACGAAUUCUUAUACCUCUCCUCUCUCUUUAUACCUUCUCCAUUUGCUCUUGGUGUUUGUAAGCCAUUAGAGGAGUGACACUUGUGACUCUAAGCCUUCCAAAGUCAAUUCAAGGAGGAAUCGGGAUUGUUAUUACAACAUAACAAUCACGGUAACAUUUUAAACCUAUUCUCAUGUUAAUACGAUUAUUUGAAUGCUAGAAUUAGGGUUUAUAGUCUUGGAUAGCUUGCAUGUACAAUAGAGAAACCUAGAUCCAAGCAUUAGGGUUUGUAUGAGCACAUAGGAUGUCUUAUGACCAAAAUCCAUCAAUAGGAUGGUGCUAUCUUUAGUGAUCUGUUAGAUCUGUAUCCUGGUAUAUAGGAUGAUGCUAUGAUUAGUGAUAUGUGUGAUUGUUUGUACAUGCUAGCUAGCGGUUGAUAUCUAUGUGUUGAUUGUGUUUGCGGGUGGGUUGAGGCGGUCCUGCUUUGUGCUCUAGGCCAAUAGACCCAGGGCGGCUCGGGUAGACUGAAGGCCCAUUGGGCCAUACCAGUCAAGCUGAAGGCCCGGAGAAUGGUUCAGACAGGUUGAAGGCCUGAUAGGGCGGACCAGACAUGCUGAAGGUUCUGAGAGUGGGCCAGAUAGGCUGAAGGCCCGGUGAGGGCGAUCCAGUCAUACUAAAGACUUUGUAUGCAUGUUGUUUGUUAUUAUAUUGUUCUGGUUUGUAUGGCAUUGGUAUUUUGGGAGAACUCACUAAGCUUCGAGAUUACAGUUUUGGAUUUUGUUUCAGGUACUUCAGAUGAUCGUGGGGAGGCGAAGGCUUGAUCGUGCACCUCUUCUCAUUCUAUGAUUUUGAUUUGUGGGAUUCUCUGAUAUGAAACUAUUUUGAAAACAUUUUGUAAUAACUAUUGGCUUUUGGAUGUUUGAAAAAGUUUUAAAUUUUUAUGAAUUUUUAUGGAUGUUACAAUGUACAACCCUAAAUCAUACUCAAAGUAAUUAACAAUCUUAGUUUCCAUUCUCACAAAGAAAGACAAAUAAUCUCCAAGGAAAAAGGCAUCAUAAUUCAGGAAAUUCUAUCAUGCACUUCCUGAGGGAUCCUUUUCUAUCUCUAGCGUGCAUUUCUAUUAGUUCCUGCAAUAACUCAAAUACAAUAAAACACAAGCAUGGGUAUUUUGGGAGAUCACUUUCAAGCUCCUGUUGAUUGUACACAUCGCUCCCUCCUUUCUUCUCCUUGAAAUUCUUGACUGCUAAAAAUGUUUUUAUGAAAAAAUUUCUCAGAUCCUAGUUUGAGUCUGGAAUCCCACAAGUGUUCAUCGAGAUCCCUCAAACAAGGGCUCUGAUACCAAAUUGUAACGUCCCAAUUUCAAAAUAAAAAAUUUAUUUUUAAAUAAGGAUAUAUCAUUGUUUUUCAAAAAACAAGUCAAGGAACAUAAGUACCAAAAUACAAUCAUCCCAAAAAUAGCAGAGUAUAAAACUUGCGGAAUAACAUAAGCUGUAGGUGGAUGUGUACAAUCAAGCCUUCGCUUUCCCGCGAUCAUCUGAAGUACUUGAAACACAAUAAAUAAACAUCUAUAAGCAUGAAGCUUAAUGAGUUUUUCCCCAAAAUGCCACACACACACACACACACACACAUAUAUAUAUAUAUAUAUAUAUAUANNNNNNNNNNNNNNNNNNNNNNNNNNNNNNNNNNNNNNNNNNNNNNNNNNNNNNNNNNNNNNNNNNNNNNNNNNNNNNNNNNNNNNNNNNNNNNNNNNNNNNNNNNNNNNNNNNNNNNNNNNNNNNNNNNNNNNNNNNNNNNNNNNNNNNNNNNNNNNNNNNNNNNNNNNNNNNNNNNNNNNNNNNNNNNNNNNNNNNNNNNNNNNNNNNNNNNNNNNNNNNNNNNNNNNNNNNNNNNNNNNNNNNNNNNNNNNNNNNNNNNNNNNNNNNNNNNNNNNNNNNNNNNNNNNNNNNNNNNNNNNNNNNNNNNNNNNNNNNNNNNNNNNNNNNNNNNNNNNNNNNNNNNNNNNNNNNNNNNNNNNNNNNNNNNNNNNNNNNNNNNNNNNNNNGUCAAGAGUGGGAUGGGUAAGAGUGGAUACCCAAUGGCGGUCAUUUUAUAGGCUGCUUCCUUAAACAUCCCUUAUAGACUAGCUUCGUGAAUGAGGCCUACUAACGGUAAGAUUGACUCUUUACUCAUACAUACAUAUAUAUGUGUAUAUAUAUAUAUAUAUAUAUAUAUAUAUAUAUAUAUAUAUAUAUAUAUAUUAGACUUCUAAUGUUACAUAUAAUAUAAGGGUGUAUUUUUAAAACUUUUUAAAAAUACUAGGUUAUAUUUUAAAUUUUCAAAAUUAAUGUUCAAUUAAUUAAAUUAAAAAUAAAACCAAUCAUGAAUUCAAGAUAAGGAUAUCAAAUUACAUUUUUAAAAUAUUUAGUUUUAUCCAAUUAUAACAAUAUUAAGGUAAUUAUCCUAAUCCAUCCAUGUGAUAAUUGAAAAAAUCGAAUUUUUAGGAUCUGAAAGCUCAACACGUCGUGGAGAGCAAUCACCAUGCCGUGUUGGGUCGAUUUCGUAGGUCUACACAUCGUGUUUGAAGAACUCCACGACAUGUUUGAUGAACAUAAUGACGAUUCUGCUUUCUCCUCCUUGUUUAAGUUCACAUUAAUAUCAAUUCAAUAGAAAACUAAACCUAUGCUCUGAUACCACUGAUGAGUUUUAAGCAUAACAAACAUUCCUAUGUGUGCAUGUAACCCUAAACUUUGAUCUAUGUUUUCUCUAAUUGAAUAUACCAUAUGAACAACAAUGUAGAAACCCUAGAACACUAGUACAUAAUCAAAAUUACAUAAUUAGGGUUACAAAACAUACAUUUGAUUGUUAUAUAGUAAUAACAAUCUAAAUCAUUUAUGUUGUUGAGACUUUGAGAAAAAGUGUCACAAUGGUCACACCUCUAAUGGCUCACACCCAACACUAGUAAUUGAAGGAAAUUGUGGAGAAGGAGAGAGGAGGCAAAUUUCUGGCUAGUGUUCUUUAGGAAGAAUUUGACCGAAAAAUACUAGGGUUAUAUCCUUAUUUAUAGUGUAAAUAGGAAACCCUAGAUAAUCCCAAGUCCAAGAUAAUCUUAAACUAGGCAAUUAUCCACUUUCUCGAUCAUCCAUUAUAGACUAUUCUAGAAACCCUACGGCUAUAGGAAAACCGUACAAUGCCUAUGGAGGGUUCUAGAUUGCCUCUUGCUCAACUAUUGAACAAUUACAAUUCAGUUCCUGCACUUUUAAUUAAUUAUUUUUUAAUCCAAUAAUUAAUUCUAAUUAAUUUCUGAUUAAAUAUUAAUUAAAUAUUACUAUUUAUAAUUAAUAUAUUAUUCUCAUAAUAUAUUAAUAAUUUACUUAUUUUAAUUUAUUAAUCAAAUUAAUAAAUCAACCACUUUCUCCAAAAUCAUCCUUCCCAAUUGCUAGUCUUGAGGGCAACCCAAAAGGAUUGUGUUACUAUCAAUUUAAGUAUAUACCAAUUAUAGUUAUGGGCUUAGAUACCUAAUCCAACAAAAAAACUCAUACUCUAAGGGAACAACAUCU
rnacentral:lncRNA from 1 species